GGUGGCUCAGUUGUAGAGCACUUGCCUUGCAUGCAUGAAGCCCUGGGUUCGAUUCCUCAGCACCA
rnacentral:tRNA from 1 species